UUUGGUUUAUUUUGUUUUGUAUACUCAGACAAUUCACGAUUGAACAAGAGUUUUGGUUGAGGGCCAUCGGCGGGCGCGGGCCAGAGGGUGUGAGCCCUCCGGCGGUCGACCCCUAUUUCUAGGGGGGACGGGCCGGCCGAAGCAACAAGAGGUAAGGUAGGCAAAGGGUUGGAGGUCGGGCCUGGAAGACCCUAACUCAGUAAUGAUCCUUCCGCAGGUUCACCUACGGAAA
rnacentral:misc_RNA from 1 species